rnacentral:rRNA from 1 species
CAGGCCUAACACAUGCAAGUCGAACGGAGCCGCAAGGCUUAGUGGCAAACGGGUGCGUAACGCGUAAGCAACCUGCCUCAAACAGGGGGAUAGCCCGGCGAAAGCUGGGGUAAACCCGCACGGUCCAGUGGUCUCACCUGGGGUUACUGGUAAACAUUUAUGGGUUGCGGAGGGGCUUGCGUCUGAUUAGCUAGUUGGCGGGGUAAGGGCCCACCAAGGCGAUGAUCAGUAGGGGUUCUGAGAGGAUUGGCCCCCACAUGGGUACUGAGAUACGGACCCAACUCCUACGGGAGGCAGCAGUAGGGAAUAUUGGGCAAUGGGCGAGAGCCUGACCCAGCCAUGCCGCGUGCCGGAUGAAGGCGCUCAGCGUUGUAAACGGCUUUUGACUGGGAAGAACGGCAGGUUUGCGAACUUGUGUGACGGUACCAGCAGAAUAAGCACCGGCUAACUCCGUGCCAGCAGCCGCGGUAAU